rnacentral:rRNA from 1 species
CCUACGGGAGGCAGCAGUGGGGAAUAUUGCACAAUGGGGGAAACCCUGAUGCAGCGACGCCGCGUGAGUGAGGAAGUAUUUCGGUAUGUAAAGCUCUAUCAGCAGGGAAGAAAAUGACGGUACCUGACUAAGAAGCCCCGGCUAACUACGUGCCAGCAGCCGCGGUAAUACGUAGGGGGCAAGCGUUAUCCGGAUUUACUGGGUGGAAAGGGAGCGUAGACGGCUAAUCAAGUCAGAAGUGAAAACCCAGGGCUCAACCUUGGGACUGCUUUUGAAACUGAGUAGCUAGAGUGCAGGAGAGGUAAGCGGAAUUCCUAGUGUAGCGGUGAAAUGCGUAGAUAUUAGGAGGAACUCCGAUUGCGAAGGCAGCAUACCGGCGCCAGACUGACGCUGAGGCACGAAAGCGUGGGGAUCGAACAGGAUUAGAUACCCUUGUAGUC